rnacentral:lncRNA from 1 species
GUAUUCAUAUUCAAUAUUAUACCAAUAUAUCAUAUCACAUGAUUGUUACUAGUGUAGUUAAGUCAAAUUAUCUUAGUUGACCUUUUCAUUAUGCAAUGCAGAUCGCAACACCAGCUUAUUUAAAGUUUAAUCCGUCUGUAUAUCUGGAAAACUACUAACGCUAACACCAAUAUAAUAAAAAAAGAAAAAAAAUAUCUGCAAUAUCUGCAAUGCAUGCAAGCAAAGUGUCACAAUAUCAACAUAUCAACGUAUAAAGAAAGAUCUUUGAGUGACUAAUAAUUGGUUCGUCGACUCAUUGUUAUCAUUAUUAUGUUUAUUUAUUUAUUAUUAUCAUUAUUAUUGUUAUGUUCUCAUUGUUAUCGUUAAAAUCUCGUGUGGUGUUUUAUCUUGAUUUUUUCCCCUCGUGUGUUGACGGAAUUUCCUCCUAAUUUGCAUUUGAAUCCACUGAAUGCAGAGCAAAGUCAUUAAAUAUUAAAAUUAAACUAAAAAAAAAAAAAAAAAAUAAUAAUAAAUAAAUAAAUAGAUAAAAUAAAUAUGAUUAGAUUAAAGCAAAGUAGAUUCUUGCGAGGAUAUUCUGAGCUUAAGAAUACUCUAUGUUUAUAAUUUAUAUAGGUUAGUAUUAAUGCCUGUUUAGUAAGGUUCAAAUUGUAUUAAUGCCAGUUCAGUAAGGUUCAAAAUGUAUUAAUGCCAGUUCAGUAAGGUUCAAAAUGUAUUAAUGCCAGUUCAGUAAGGUUCAAAAUGUAUUAAUGCCAGUUCAGUAAGGUUCAAAUUGUAUUAAUGCCAGUUCAGUAAGGUUCAAAAUGUAUUAAUGCCAGUUCAGUAAGGUUCAAAAUGUGUUAAUGCCAGUUCAGUAAGGUUCAAAAUGUGUUAAUGCCAGUUCAGUAAGGUUCAAAUUGUAUUAAUGCCAGUUCAGAAGGUUCAAAAUGUGUUAAUGCCGGUUCAGUAAGGAUCAAAUUGUAUUAAUGCCAGUUCAGUAAGGUUCAAAAUGUGUUAAUGCCAGUUCAGUAUGGUUCAAAUUGUAUUGAUGCCAGUUCAGUAAGGUUCAUAAUAUGUUAAUGUCUGUUCAGUAAGGUUCAAAAUGUAUUAAUGCCUGUUCAGUAAGGUUCAUAAUAUAUUAAUGCCUGUUCAGUAAGGUCCAUAAUAUAUCAAUGCCUGUUCAGUAAGGUUCAAAUUGUAAUAAUGCCUGUUCAGUAAGGUUCAAAUUGUAUUAAUGCCUGUUCAGUAAGGUUCAAAUUGUAUUAAUGCCAGUUCAGUAAGGUUCAAAAUGUGUUGAUGCCAGUUUAGUAAGGAUCAAAUUGUAUUAAUGCCAGUUCAGUAAGGUUCAAAAUGUGUUAAUGCCAGUUCAGUAUGGUUCAAAUUGUAUUGAUGCCAGUUCAGUAAGGUUCAUAAUAUAUCAAUGCCUGUUCAGUAAGGUUCAUAAUAUAUUAAUGCCUGUUCAGUAAGGUUCAAAUUGUAUUGAUGCCAGUUCAGUAAGGUUCAUAAUAUAUUAAUGCCUGUUCAGUAAGGUUCAUAAUAUAUUAAUGCCUGUUCAGUAAGGUUCAUAAUAUAUUAAUGCCUGCUCAGUAAGGUUCAAAUUGUAUUAAUGCCUGUUCAGUAAGGUUCAACAUGUAUUAAUGGCAGUUCAGUAUGGUUCAAAAUGUAUUAAUGCCAGUUCAAUAAGGUUCAAAAUGUGACUAGAAGUGAAUAAAGUAUGAGAUAAG